rnacentral:rRNA from 1 species
UACAGAGGUCUCGAGCGUUGUUCGGAUUCAUUGGGCGUAAAGGGUGCGUAGGUGGCGCCGUAAGUCGGGUGUGAAAUUUCGGAGCUUAACUCCGAAACUGCAUUCGAUACUGCGGUGCUUGAGGACUGGAGAGGAGACUGGAAUUCAUGGUGUAGCAGUGAAAUGCGUAGAGAUCGUGAGGAAGACCAGUGGCGAAGGCGGGUCUCUGGACAGUUCCUGACGCUGAGGCACGAAGGUCAGGGGAGCAAACAGG